GUUUUUAUAGUUGAAAUACAACGAUGGUUUUUCAUAUCAUUGGUCAUGGUUGAAGUCCAUGUAGAAACA
rnacentral:tRNA from 1 species